rnacentral:rRNA from 1 species
UGGGGAAUAUUGGGCAAUGGGGGAAACCCUGACCCAGCAACGCCGCGUGAAGGAAGAAGGCUUUCGGGUUGUAAACUUCUUUUACCGAGGACGAAGAACGUGACGGUACUCGGAGAAAAAGCCACGGCUAACUACGUGCCAGCAGCCGCGGUAAUACGUAGGUGGCAAGCGUUGUCCGGAUUUACUGGGUGUAAAGGGCGUGUAGGCGGAGAUGCAAGUCAGGAGUGAAAUCUCGGGGCUCAACCCCGAAACUGCUUUUGAAACUGUAUCCCUUGAGUAUCGGAGAGGCAGGCGGAAUUCCUAGUGUAGCGGUGAAAUGCGUAGAUAUUAGGAAGAACACCAGUGGCGAAGGCGGCCUGCUGGACGACAACUGACGCUGAGGCGCGAAAGCGUGGGGAGCAAACAGG